AAUCAACUUCACAGAUGUGGUUCGAAGAGCUUCGCGAACAAGCAAGCUGAUUAUGAAGAUGAGCAUGGAGAAAAAAUGAGCUUGUUAGCUCUUUGGAAAAAAACUCAUAUGGGCAAGGAUGGAGGCUAUCUACCCGAGACAGUCACAGCAGAUUUUGUGGAUGAUGCAUAUGCCAAGUUGGAAUCAUUGAAACAAGUAUGCCCUUCUAAGU